UGCGGCUGGAUCCCCUCCUUUCUAGAGAAAACCUGAAGUUCUCGCGCCCACACUUAUCGGUUGUGCAUCAGAGAUGCCUGCCGCGUAACGACCUAGAUUCAGGGUCUGUAGCUCAGUUGGUUAGAGCACACGCUUGAUAAGCGUGGGGUCGGUGGUUCAAGUCCACCCAGACCCACCACCAAUUGCACUACGGGGCCAUAGCUCAGCUGGGAGAGCGCCUGCUUUGCAAGCAGGAGGUCACCGGUUCGAUCCCGGUUGGCUCCACCAGGACAUCUCGAGGCAUGGGCACAUGGAAUUCAGCGCGAAGCGCCGUCCGCGGGUCAGACGAGGCGCGCUUCGCAGUGAGUUUCAAUCGGCUGCAGCUCUUUAAAAAUUCGGAAGAAGUGAAGCGAAUCCGGUUACUCAGACCGGAUUCGUCUGGGUAUGAGAUUGCAUUAACGAGCGCUGGGGCCUAGUCGGCUUCAGUGCUCACCAAGCGCUCUCUAUGAUCCUUUGUUUGGCGCCGAGCCGAGCUCAGGGUUAUAGGGUCAAGUGAAUAAGUGCAUGUGAUGGAUGCCUUGGCGACAACAGGCGACGAAGGACGUUGCAGCCUGCGAUAAGCCUCGGGGAGCUGGCAAGCGAGCUUUGAUCCGAGGAUUUCCGAAUGGGGAAACCCGG
rnacentral:misc_RNA from 1 species